rnacentral:rRNA from 1 species
AGUGAACGCUGGCGGUAGGCCUAACACAUGCAAGUCGAACGGCAGCACAGUAAGAGCUUGCUCUUACGGGUGGCGAGUGGCGGACGGGUGAGGAAUACAUCGGAAUCUACUUUUUCGUGGGGGAUAACGUAGGGAAACUUACGCUAAUACCGCAUACGACCUACGGGUGAAAGCAGGGGAUCUUCGGACCUUGCGCGAUUGAAUGAGCCGAUGUCGGAUUAGCUAGUUGGCGGGGUAAAGGCCCACCAAGGCGACGAUCCGUAGCUGGUCUGAGAGGAUGAUCGCCGACACUGGAAGUGAGACACGGUCCAGGCUCCUACGGGAGGCAGCAGUGGGGAAUGUUGGGCAAUGGGGGCGAGCCUGAUCCAGCCAUACCGCGUGGGAGAAGGGGGCCUUCGGGUUGUAAAGCCCUUUUGUUGGGAAAGAAAAGCAGCAGGUUAAUACCCCGCUGUUCUGACGGUACCCAAAGAAUAAGCACCGGCUAACUUCGUG